rnacentral:lncRNA from 1 species
UUUUUGAGAAUCAUGAUGAGGCAUUAAAGAAGAGGAGGAGUGUCUCAAGGGAGGUGAGCUGGAGGUGAUGCAAGGAUGUCUGAUCUGAAAGCAUGUUGUGGUCCGCUACACACAAGAGCAAAAGAAGAGCAGGAAGGAGCUCAGUGCCAAGACCAUAGCCACAGGAAGAAAACCAGCUCUUAGGGCUGCAGCUCUAAAGACAGGCCAGGUCAUUACAGGAACGUCUGCUCCCUUAGCCUUGCCAGACAGAGGAGGGUUAAGAAAGGAACUGCUGACCCUGAUAUGCAAACUGCCACGAGUGCUUCCUGCCUUUCUAUCAGCAUCAGAUGGCUAGCGAUGGAUGGCUGUGGAGAGAGGAUGCCAGACAGAUAUUUGAGCAGAACAAAGAGAGCCAACAGGAUGAAGGCAUUCCCUGGCUGGUUGGACAAGCAACUGAAGAACAGGAACAGAAGUGAAUGAAAAGAGAAGAUGCUGUGUUUGUGUUUUCUCUUGGUUAGAAUGCUGUGAGUCAGGACCUUAGCUGCUGGGUGUCCUGGGACUGCCUUCGAUGAAGAACCUGAGGCUCACCUUGCUUAAGUGACUUGAGCAGCUUCACGCAUCUUGUAAGUAGUAGAGACAGAGUCAAAACCAGAUCUUCCUGCCCUCUCUAUCAUAUAAACCACUUACACUGAAUUACAAAGUGAAACUGAUCUAUGGUGAAUUGUACUAAUGUUCUGCUUCUGCCAUGGGCACCAGAGGAGAUACCUUUCUUUGUUGACACUAAUCUCAAAGGCUAAAUUAGAUCCCCCAAACUCAUUUCCAUUAAUAACAUGUCAAAGGCUUGUGUCAUGCGUUAAUUUAUCCAAAGUGAUCUUGAUUCUAUUUACAUUUUGGUGCCACCUUUUAAUGUCACCAUUUUUAUAAAUUAAAUAUGUAAUAUAUAAAGCCAGUCUUCACUUACUGAUAUGUUAAUUUUUAACCCAAACUUCUUAGUCUGACAUUCCAGCAAUACCGGAGCAUUGACAGUUGAUAAUAGCUCUAUGUGCUACCUCUCCAAGAAACAAAUUUGCAUUUUAACCUGCCCCUUCAAUGGCUGAACUUCAAAGGGUCACUGAUGAAUGCCACAGCAGAGAAAACUGCAAAUUGGAACAGCAGAGCUGUGCCUCUGGCCAUUUCCUGGAACUACAGAGGAGCAACUUGCCCCGGUUUCCAGUGGGUGAUGUUCCUCUUCUGCCACAGUCCCUGGCGAUGUUGAUGUGAUUGCCAUCAGAGCUCAGAAGCACAGAGCAGAAUCAUCCCCUGGAGGAGGAUUCCCUUCAGUGUAAGAAGUUCUUACAGAAUUAAUCCUCAAAGACUGUGGGUGGACUCUGCCAGGUUUUUCCCCGGGUGUACCAGAAGAGAGGAAGAGCCCUCAAAUACAGGAAAGUGCUCUUUUCAGUGACAGUAGUUCUUUUGGGCCCUGUGGCUAAGUGUGCUCCCACCCCAGCAGUAAGAUCACAGCUAAUCCUGAGAGGCAAGAGCUCACACCAGGCUACUGAAAGAAAAAGUGUCCUUUGUGGAUUGCAAGAGGAACUGGGACACACUGCUGGAAAUGAAGUGGCAGGUCAUAAACUAUCAUAAACUCAGGAGGAGAGGUGUUCCUUUUUGAGACACUCAUCACAACUAGAGAGAAUGCAGCUAAGAAAAUGCAGUCUUUAGGGGGACCUGGACUGUUGAAGUAUUUGAGCUAUUCGGAGGAAAUAGAAACUUGGAAGAGAUCUUUGUUCCACUAUUAUUUGGCAGCCCCUUACCCGCAGCUGCCAUUACUCCAGAUUCUCUCUGAUGAUCCUGCAUCAGGAGAAUGAGUUGACUGGGCACCACUGGGAAAUGUGGGCAGCUCCAGGCUGAACUAGAGAAGGGGCAUGUCAAAGGUCACUUAUUUGUGGCUUGACCCUUUGGAGGCCAGAUGUAAGAAUCAAUUUCUCACAGGUCCCAUGCUAACGCUUUUCAUAUUUAUUUCCAUCUGAGACUCACUUAGGCUAGGCAAAUAUCCCAUGGGUCUGUACCUCUCCAGUGCUUUCUUGCUCAUGUAAAAUUAGCUCAUUGGAAUGAAUAAAGAGAAUGGUAUUACUUUGGCUCGAACACG